ACGGGAGGCAGCAGUGGGGAAUAUUGCACAAUGGGGGGAACCCUGAUGCAGCGACGCCGCGUGAAGGAAGAAGUAUCUCGGUGUGUAAACUUCUAUCAGCAGGGAAGAUAAUGACGGUACCUGACUAAGAAGCCCCGGCUAACUACGUGCCAGCAGCCGCGGUAAUACGUAGGGGGCAAGCGUUAUCCGGAUUUACUGGGUGUAAAGGGAGCGUAGACGGAGAAGCAAGUCUGAUGUGAAAGGCAUGGGCUCAACCUGUGGACUGCAUUGGAAACUGUUUUUCUUGAGUGCCGGAGGGGUAAGCGGAAUUCCUAGUGUAGCGGUGAAAUGCGUAGAUAUUAGGAGGAACACCAGUGGCGAAGGCGGCUUACUGGACGGUAACUGACGUUGAGGCUCGAAAGCGUGGGGAGCAAACAGGAUUAGAAACCCUGGUA
rnacentral:rRNA from 1 species